UCUCAAAAGGAGGUGAUCCAUGCACCGAUCUCGAAUGGAUUGAUCACUAUCCUCCGUGAUGCUCCUUCGAUCGGGAGCAUUUAGAAAUUAACCACUAAUGAUGUAUGUCUCAAAUUCUCAAUACCUUGAGAAUAUACAAAAUUAUCUUUAUUAAUUUUUAAGACAAAUCAUGGACACUUAAGAUAUGAUUGGUUUUAAAGACUACCUAUCAAGUACAAAAUAUACCUUAGAGAAAAAUAUGUGUCAGCCAAGAUUGGCUUUUAAGGUACACAUCCAAUAGAAUCCUCAUCGUUCUCAUCAAGUUCAAUGGGAUCACCAUCUUGGAUCAACAAAUUAUAGUAUCUGUCCAACUGAUGCAAUACUCUACCGGAUCUCCUUAAUAGUGCCUCUACUGGCUCCAAAUUUGAUUCAUCAAUCAAAUCUAAUUCUGUGUAUGUUAGUCUUUCCACCUCAUGAACUUCAUCAAGUUUAAUUUUUCAGAUAUUAGUUUCUUCAUCAAGAAACUUCUUUUUCAAAAAGACUACCCAACUGUUGAUAAAUACCUUUUAUUCUGUAGUGAGGUAGAAGUAGUACCCUUUAGUUUUCUUUGAAUACCUUAGGAACAAGCAUCUGUUGGACUUCGGUCCAAGCUUAUCUAUCUUUAAAUACUUGACAUAAACUGGACACCCAC
rnacentral:lncRNA from 1 species